AGGAUUUUCAACAGAAAGCCAAUAUUCUUCAUGUGGAUCUAACAAAGCAUAUAUGUCUGGUGUCUUUAUUUUGCAGUAUAAGUGAUUAAGUUCUACAGUUAUGAUUGAUCAUAUUGGCUAUUUACCAUAACAUUUUUAUGUUUGAACACCUCAUUAUAUGAUCUUUUUUAUGUUUGUAGUAUACCACUCCGCGCUUGACUCGUGAGAAGUAUAGGAAGAAGUCAAGAACAAGAAAAGAGAUUGAAAGAUUGUGAGCAACGAAGAUAUGAGUACUAGAUCCCAUCGUGGCCGUCGUGGAGGUUCUAGCAGUACAGCAUCAUCCCGUGCAGCAUCAUCGACUUUGCCAGCAUCGGCUUCAGAUGUAGAGUUAGAGCAAACGACAUCUGAUGCAAUUUCAAACAAUGAUGGAAGGAUAUUUCGAGGACGCCUGAAGGGUUUGUCACUUUAUAAUGAGAUGCUCCAGCAGUUCUUGAGGUCCCAGCAGUCGAGGAGUAGUGGCUCGGGAGGUUCUUAGCUUUCAUGUAGUAUAUUUAGUACAUUUUGAUACAUUAUUAUGAUAUUUCACUUAAAAUGUAGUUUAUUUAGUAGUACUUUUUAUGUUAUUAUGAUAUUUACACAUAAACGUAUUGUUGGAUAUUGAACAAUGUCGAAUGAAUUUUAAAUUAUGUUUAGAUUA